UAGUCAUAUGCUUGUCUCAAAGAUUAAGCCAUGCAUGUCUAAGUAUAAGCAAUUACAAAGCGAAACUGCGAAUGGCUCAUUAUAUAAGUUAUCGUUUAUUUGAUAGUACCUUACUACAUGGAUAACCGUGGUAAUUCUAGAGCUAAUACAUGCUGAAAAUCCCGACUUCGGAAGGGAUGUAUUUAUUAGAUACAAAACCAAUGCCCUUCGGGGCUCUCUUGGUGAUUCAUGAUAACUUCUCGAAUCGCACGGCCCCGCGCCGGCGAUGGUUCAUUCAA
rnacentral:rRNA from 1 species